rnacentral:lncRNA from 1 species
GAAGUAUUAGUGUUUAUUCGUAGUAAAAUUAAGUAAGACGAAUUUAAUAAAUUUCCCAUAUUUAUAUUUACAUUGAUAUGGUAAACUACAUUAUGAAACACAAUACCUGUACAAGCCCAAAUUUGCCCGGGGCCCAAUACCCAAUUAAAAUCCAAACCUAAACCCCUACCCAUUACAACCUACCUAGACCCAAAUACCAACUCAAAACAAUAAAAUUACAGCCCAAAAAGAAAAAAAACUAAAGGCCCAACCAGCCCAAAACUAAAACAUUUUCAGAAAACCCUAGCCGCUAUUGCACCUAACCCUAGCGCCGCACCUACCCUCUGCCGCUCAUCAACUCCUCUGCCACCGCCACCUGCCGACGCCGCGCAAUCCCACCUGCACCACCAACUCCUCUGACAUCUGCAAGGGGAGAAGACACGCAAAGAACAAAAAAGAAAAAGAAAAAUAAUAACAUGUAAUCGGUUAUAAAGCCAAAGAAAAUCUAUUGUAAAAAGGGCUCUCUUCUUUCACGAUUUCAAGAAAUAAAAGAAAAAAAAACAGAUUCAAGAAACUUUUUUCGGUAUAAGAUCUAUUUCCUUUCCUCAUUUCCUUUUUUUUUCUU